UACGGAGGAUCCAAGCGUUAUCCGGAAUCAUUGGGUUUAGAGGGUCCGUAGGCGGCCCUGUAAGUCAGUGGUGAAAUCUCACGGCUCAACCGUGAAAUUGCCAUUGAUACUGCAGGGCUUGAAUUACCAGGAAGUAACUAGAAUAUGUAGUGUAGCGGUGAAAUGCUUAGAGAUUACAUGGAAUACCGAUUGCGAAGGCAGGUUACUACUGGUGGAUUGACGCUGAUGGACGAAAGCGUGGGUAGCGAACAGG
rnacentral:rRNA from 1 species